UGGGGAAUGGUCCAGUGGUAGGAUGCGCGCAUGGGGUGCGUGUGGCGGGAGUUCGACUCUCCCUUCCCCGACCA
rnacentral:tRNA from 1 species